CAGUUCGGAUUGCAGGCUGCAACUCGCCUGCAUGAAGCUGGAAUUGCUAGUAAUCGCGGAUCAGCAAGCCGCGGUGAAUACGUUCCCGGGCCUUGUACACACCGCCCGUCACACCAUGAGAGUUGAGAAUACCCGAAGCCCAUGUCAAAGUGGUCGAAGGUAGGCUUGAUGAUUGGGGUGAAGUCGUAACAAGGUAUC
rnacentral:rRNA from 1 species